rnacentral:SRP_RNA from 1 species
CCGUGCUAGGUGGGGAGGUAGCGGUUCCCUGUACUCGAAAUCCGCUUUAUGCGAGACUUAAUUCCUUUGUUGAGGGCGUAUUUUUGUGAAGUCUGCCCGAAGCACGUAGUGUUUGAAGAUUUCGGUCCUAUGCAAUAUGAACCCAUGAACCAUGUCAGGUCCUAUGCAAUAUGAACCCAUGAACCAUGUCAGGUCCUGACGGAAGCAGCAUUAAGUGGAUCCUCAUAUGUGCCGUAGGGUAGCCGAGAUUUAGCUGUCGACUUCGGUAACGUUUAUGAUAUGCGUUCGAUACAAAGGUGCAUGG